rnacentral:rRNA from 1 species
CAGCAGCCGCGGGAAUACAGAGGGUGCGAGCGUUAAUCGGAUUUACUGGGCGUAAAGCGUGCGUAGGCGGCUUCUUAAGUCGGAUGUGAAAUCCCUGAGCUUAACUUAGGAAUUGCAUUCGAUACUGGGAAGCUAGAGUAUGGGAGAGGAUGGUAGAAUUCCAGGUGUAGCGGUGAAAUGCGUAGAGAUCUGGAGGAAUACCGAUGGCGAAGGCAGCCAUCUGGCCUAAUACUGACGCUGAGGUACGAAAGCAUGGGGAGCAAACAGGAUUAGAUACCCCUGUAGUCCUGUCUCUUAUACA